UACGAAGGGGGCUAGCGUUGCUCGGAAUUACUGGGCGUAAAACGCACGUAGGCGGCUUGUUAAGUCAGGUGUGAAAGCCCCGGGCUCAACCUGGGAAUUGCAUUUGAGACUGAAUAGCUAGGGUGCGGAAGAGGGAAGCGGAAUUUCCGGUGUAGCGGUGAAAUGCGUAGAUAUCGGAAGGAACACCAGUGGCGAAAGCGGCUUCCUGGUCCGGCACCGACGUCAGGCACGAAAGCGUGGGGAGCAAACAGG
rnacentral:rRNA from 1 species